AACUGUAUUUCUCUGAGUUCAUCAGGAUUCCUCUGUGGCUUUGCCAGGGCUUUCCAGACUCAAGGCCCGUGGUGUUUCCCUUUGGCAAACUGCAAGUGCACAUCAGCCUGGAGUGAGGAAUAGCAGAACAUGUGUGAAUAGAAAAGUGAUACAGACCUUGAUCUGAAAGUGCGUGUGUGCGUGCGUGCAUGCGCUCCUUUGAUAUUAGUGCAUCUCUUAUCAAGUGAUCCAUAUCCAAAAUGACCGUGUCCAUCCCUGAGGCCGGGACAUCUGAUCUGUGAUCAGGAACAGCUGUAGGAUCGUCGGCACAGCUGACAGUACUGAGCGAAACAGGGCAUUUGAAGGAAAAAGAAGUAACUUGGGACUUGAUUGUAUCGAUCAGGCAUUGAUUGGAUUGGGGAAAGUGACCAUUACAUCAGAAUGAAUUCAGGUGGUUGGAUGAAAGGGACUGAAAUUAAGAGACACCUGUGGAACGCCGUGUAAUAGUGAAUGUCUGAGAGAUGCUUCAUUCCGAUCUUAUCAACAAGCAGCAAAACAAAAGACACAGAUCCUUCAGAACGAUAAUGUCUCUUCCUGUGCUCCAAAACAAGCUUCAUCAGAUUCUGC